AUGGUAGGAUAGAGGCCUACCAUGGUGGUAACGGGUAACGGGGUGUUAGGGCACGACACCGGAGAGGGAGCCUGAGAAACGGCUACCACAUCCAAGGAUGGCAGCAGGCGCGCAAAUUACCCAAUCCCGACACGGGGAGGUAGUGACAAUAAAUAACAAUACGGGGUUCUUUAGGAUCUCGUAAUUGGAAUGAGUACAAUUUAAAUCUCUUAACGAGGAACAAUUGGAGGGCAAGUCUGGUGCCAGCAGCCGCGGUAAUUCCAGCUCCAAUAGCGUAUAUUAAAGUUGUUGCAGUUAAAAAGCUCGUAGUUGAAUUUCGGGGUCAGUAGGUCGGUCGUGCCACUGGUAUGAACUGGUUUUACUGAUUCCUCCCUCUUGAAGAACUGUAAUGCCAUUAAUUUGGUGUUGCAGGGAAUCAGGACUGUUACUUUGAAAAAAUUAGAGUGUUUAAAGCAGGCUUUAGCUUGAAUACAUUAGCAUGGAAUAAUGAAAUAGGACGUUUGAUCCUAUUUUGUUGGUUUCUAGGAUUGACGUAAUGAUUAAUAGGGAUAGUUGGGGGCAUUGGUAUUCAAUUGUCAGAGGUGAAAUUCUUGGAUUUAUUGAAGACUAACUACUGCGAAAGCAUUUGCCAAGGAUGUUUUCAUUAAUCAAGAACGAAAGUUAGGGGAUCGAAGACGAUCAGAUACCGUCGUAGUCUUAACCAUAAACUAUGCCGACUAGGGAUCGGAUGAUGUUAAUUUUUUAAUGACUCAUUCGGCGCCUUACGGGAAACCAAAGUGUUUGGG
rnacentral:rRNA from 1 species